CUAACUAAUAACAUACUACAUCUUCAUUUUGUUAGUUGACAUUAUACCUCAAUGAAUUUCCAAAAAUUAAUUCAAACUUCAUUGUCGAUGGUAUUAACCGAAGGGUAGGUGAAAUUGUAAGAGAAACUGACCUGUCAUUCAAAAUGGUAUAUAUUUAGCAAGGAACCCUAGAUUAACAUUGGGAGCUCUUAGGCUUUUUCCUUAUUAAUUAUCACAGUGUGUAAUUAAAAUAUUCUCUAAAUUCAAAACUAAAAAAUUCUACAACUGAAGGAUGUGAUUAAAAAUAUGGUCCAUAUUAUCAUGUGUAUUUUUAGCUAAUUAAUCUGUAGUGCAAAUAUUUAGUAGGGGUUGGGGGGAAUAGAAAGGUAAUAUUGCUAAAAGACCCUUUUUGUGUAUAUUAAGGAAGUUUAUUUUCAUAACCCUGAAUAUUUUGAAUGAAUUUUUUUUGCAUUCAUUAGGAAUAUAUGAGCAGAGAUUCAGUCCUGGGAUUUGACCGUCUGAAGGGCAGUGAAGACAAAUAUGCUCCCAGAUUGGCAGAACUGAACAUUGAAAGCCAAAUGGGAAAAGACAAGUUAUGCAAAUUAUUUAGGAGCCUCAGAAAGGACUUUAAUGGAUUUGCAAAUGGAGCACAUCAAGAAGAUAUUAAAGCAACUUUUAAUAUAAAUGUUAGAAGGAGGAAAUCACUAAAUCUUGAAACCUGGAAAACAUUGUUAAAGGGCUACUGUUCCUUAUGGUUUUACCUAUCAAACUUAACAAUCGGUCAUCAUAUUAUUUUAUGA
rnacentral:lncRNA from 1 species